UGGGGAAUCUUGGACAAUGGGCGCAAGCCUGAUCCAGCCAUGCCGCGUGGAUGAUGAAGGCCUUAGGGUUGUAAAAUCCUUUCGCCGAGGACGAUAAUGACGGUACUCGGAGAAGAAGCUCCGGCUAACUUCGUGCCAGCAGCCGCGGUAAUACGAAGGGGGCUAGCGUUGUUCGGAUUUACUGGGCGUAAAGCGCGUGUAGGCGGGUCGUUAAGUUGGGGGUGAAAUCCCGAGGCUCAACCUCGGAACUGCCUUCAAAACUGGCGACCUGGACCUAAGUAGAGGCAAGUGGAAUUGCGAGUGUAGAGGUGAAAUUCGUAGAUAUUCGCAGGAACACCAGUGGCGAAGGCGACUUGCUGGACUUGUGGUGACGCUGAGACGCGAAAGCGUGGGGAGCAAACAGGAUUAGAUACCCUUGUAGUCCCUGAGCGGGCUGGCAAGGCGCAU
rnacentral:rRNA from 1 species